rnacentral:rRNA from 1 species
AACGCGAAGAACCUUACCAGGGCUUGACAUUUGUGGAAUUUUUCGGAAACGAGAAAGUGCUCGCAAGAGAGCCACAACACAGGUGGUGCAUGGCUGUCGUCAUCUCGUGUCGUGAGAUGUUGGGUUAAGUCCCGCAACGAGCGCAACCCCCGUUGUUAGUUGCCAUCAGGUAAAGCUGGGCACUCUAGGGAGACUCCGGGUGACAAACGGGAGGAAGGUGGGGACGACCUCAAUUCAUCAUGCCCUUUAUGCCAGGGGCUACACACGUGUUACAAUGGCCGGGACAAUGUGAUGCAAACUCGCGAGAGUGACCGAAUCACCAAACCCGGUCUCAGUUCGGAUCGCAGGCUGCAACUCGCCUGCGUGAAGUCGGAAUCGCUAGUAAACGCCGAUCACCACGCGGCGUUGAAUACGUUCCCGGGUCUUGUACACACCG